ACCCUCUCUCUCCCCUCUCCCUCUUCCCCCGCGUCGCCCUCUCUUUUUCUUUUUCCGAUUUCUUCACAGUCCGGCGUCCGAUCGAUGUGAUUCCAGUUGUCCUUGGACCGUCUCUUCCUCCUCUAUACGAUGGUAUCAGUGGGUAUCGGUGAUUUGGCCGGAAAACCCCGAAUUUAUGCAAUCAUUGUUACUGUAGCAAUUUGCUUCUCCGGUGAAAUUCUCCAGUUUUCGGCUAUCUCCGGAGGGAAAAUUGGUUCUAUUAGGAGCGCCUCGAGUCACUGAUCAUAUUCCCUCAAGACUUCUAGCUGAAAUUUCCACGUUUGGAAGGUGAAUUUGAAGGAUUUCCAAAUUGGUGGGUUUGGAGAUUUCCGGGUUUGUGUUCAUCGGCAAAAUUGGAGUACUUCAAGUUUGCAGGCUAGGUUAAUUGAGGUCGGGCGUACAUGGAGUCGAGGCAUAGCCAACAGCAUUGCUUCCGCGUACUCAUUCUAUUUCUGUGUUCUUUACUACCUAAUGGAAUAGUAUUGCUCUGAUAACCUGUGAAAUUAAUCUUGUAAUGUGGGUUGAGAUUGUUAUUUGUGAAAUUGGAAGUUGAUGUUAUUUGGGGAGCAGGGUGGCUCCAGGAGAAUAAGGAUGAAUGAUUUAGAAGUGUAAAUGUUUUCUACAGGUUUUGGGUAGUCCAUUUUUAGGGGAAGUUCUGCCAAAUUUUUGGUAGAAUUUCUUCUAAGGUGGGCCCCACAGGGCCUCUUCGGAUUUCGGGUUGAAAUUUGGGGCGGGUCCUGUCAUCUGUUCUACUUUAUUUUAGCAGCAGCAAGCAAGCAAGCCUAAGAUCAACACUAGUAUUAGUGAAUCGACAACACCAAUACCGGUUAACGAAAGAAGUAAUGUUGCAACUCUGGAAGAAGAAAGAGGAAGUCAAGUAAUCGAUCUUGAAGAUGACGGAAGUGUGGAAAGCAUCCUUGAGGCAUUGAAAUGGAAAGAAACGUCAGAUAUUUGGAAUCAUUAUGAUAGGAAGGUUGUGGAGGGUGGAAUUAAGGGUGCAUGCAAUUAUUGCGGAAAAGAAUUCUGUGCUGAUCCUAGGAAGAAUGGUACAACCUCUCUUAUAAAUCAUGAGGAAAAGUGUCCAAAGUAUCCCCCGAAUAUUGAGAUGAUGAAAGCUAAAAGGCAAAGGAUUUUUUCUUUUAAAAAACCAACUAGUGAGUUGUGUACUGUAGAAUGCACUCAAGAAGAGCUAUCAUUGUUAUGUGUGGAGUAUAUUAUUCUAGAUGAGUUACCAUUUUCUCAUAUGGAGGGAGAGGGGUUUAGGCAGGGCCGGCCCUGAGGGCUGCCGCCUAAGGCAGCCGCCUCAGGCCACCGGCUCUCGGGGGCCUCCGGAAUUUGGAUUUUCUGUAUAUAAGCUAAAGAUAAUAUAUAUAUAUAUAUAUAUAUAUAUAUUACUAUUUGCUGUAAUAAGCACAAAGCCGCGCGUUGCUCCCGCGGAAGUGAAGCCAAACUGAUCCCUUGUCCACCAAGGUUUGAAUCACGGUCUGCACAACUCUUUAAAUUUCUUUCAAUCAAUUCAGGGGCCAC